rnacentral:rRNA from 1 species
UACGGAGGGGGUUAGCGUUGUUCGGAAUGACUGGGCGUAAAGCGCGCGUAGGCGGAUCAGGAAGUUGGGGGUGAAAUCCCGGGGCUCAACCCCGGAAUGGCCUUCAAAACUCCUGGUCUUGAGUUCGAGAGAGGUGAGUGGAAUUCCGAGUGUAGAGGUGAAAUUCGUAGAUAUUCGCAAGAACACCAGUGGCGAAGGCGGCUCACUGGCCCGGUACUGACGCUGAGGUGCGAAAGCGUGGGGAGCAAACAGG